AAGAACGGACCUCCAGAAUGAAUUAAGUUCUUAACCUGAGGUACCACUGUAUAGGGAUGAUUUUUUUUUAUUAAAAAGUUCAGUGUUUAAUUAUAUUUUUAUAUACAGUGGUAACUCGGGUUAGGUGCUUAAUUCAUUCCAGAG